rnacentral:rRNA from 1 species
UACGGGGGGAGCAAGCGUUGUUCGGAUUUACUGGGCGUAAAGGGCGCGUAGGCGGCCACCGCAAGUCGACUGUGAAAUCUCCGGGCUUAACCCGGAAAGGUCAGCCGAUACUGCGGGGCUAGAGUGCAGAAGGGGCAACUGGAAUUCUCGGUGUAGCGGUGAAAUGCGUAGAUAUCGAGAGGAACACCUGCGGCGAAGGCGGGUUGCUGGACAUUAACUGACGCUGAGGCGCGAAAGCGUGGGGAGCAAACAGG